ACGGAAGGCAGCAGUGGGGAAUAUUGCACAAUGGGCGAAAGCCUGAUGCAGCGACGCCGCGUGAGUGAAGAAGUUAUUCGUAACGUAAAGCUCUAUCAGCAGGGAAGAAAAUGACGGUACCUGACUAAGAAGCCCCGGCUAACUACGUGCCAGCAGCCGCGGUAAUACAUAGGGAGCAAGCGUUAUCCGGAUUUACUGGGUGUAAAGGGUGCGUAGGCGGCAUGGCAAGUCAGUCGUUAAAGACCAGAGCUUAACUCUGGACCAGCGAUUGAAACUGUCAAGCUAGAGUACAGGAGAGGUUAGUGGAAUUACUAGUGUAGAGGUGGAAUUCGUAGAUAUUAGUAAGAACACCAAUGGCGAAGGCAGCUAACUGGCCUGAAACUGACGCUGAGGCACGAAAGUGUGGGGAGCAAACAGGAUUAGAUACCCUGGUA
rnacentral:rRNA from 1 species